CCUACGGGUGGCAGCAGUGAGGAAUAUUGGUCAAUGGACGAGAGUCUGAACCAGCCAAGUAGCGUGAAGGAUGACUGCCCUAUGGGUUGUAAACUUCUUUUAUAUGGGAAUAAAACGUCCAACGCGUGGGAUUUUGUAUGUACCAUAUGACUAAGGAUCGGCCAACUCCGUGCCAGCAGCCGCGGUAAUACGGAGGAUCCGAGCGUUAUCCGGAUUUAUUGGGUUGAAAGGGAGCGUAGGUGGAUUGUUAAGUCAGUGGUGAAAGUUUGCGGCUCAACCGUAAAAUUGCAGUUGAAACUGGCAGUCUUGAGUACAGUAGAGGUGGGCGGAAUUCGUGGUGUAGCGGUGAAAUGCUUAGAUAUCACGAAGAACUCCGAUUGCGAAGGCAGUUCACUGGACUGCAACUGACACUGAGGCUCGAAAGUGUGGGUAUCAAACAGGAUUAGAUACCCGGGUAGUC
rnacentral:rRNA from 1 species